UCAGCCUGUGAGGACGCUGUCGCCCUCUGCCGGAGCUGCGCUGCACCGAGAGCGAUGGACGUGGACGGAUCGUUGGUAUCGGUUGGCGAGUUCGGGAGCUACCAGAAGCGGCUGACGUUCAUCUUUGGCCUUCUGCAGAUUUACGUUGCUUGUCAGUCAAUGCUGAUUGUGUUGGUGGGAGCCCAGCCUGACUACAAGAUAAUCUCACAGGAAGUGCCCAGCGCACAUGAAGAACUUGUUAAGUAUGUCGUAUUUGAGGAAGAUUUCACUUCCAUAGUAACUGAGUGGUAUUUAAUCAGACAAGAAGCGUAUAAAGUAAACUUGGCUGGAUCCUUGUUCUUCUUGGGCUUGCUCUUUGGCAACAUCUUAUUUGGACCAUUGUCUGACCAAUUUGGCAGAAAACCUAUCUUCCUUAUAGGCUUAUUCCUUGAUGUCGUAUUUGGGUUCAUUACAGCAGCCGCUCCUAAUUAUGAAAUCUUUGCCUUGAUGCGACUUCUUGUUGGGUUUGUGAAUGGUGGAAUGUCCCUGGUGGCUUUUGUACUGACACAGGAAUUUGUGGGCAAAUCCUAUUGGGCUUUAACAGGGUCACUCACCAAUUUGGUGUUUGCAUUUGGAAUCGCAGCGUUUGCUGUCAUUGGUUAUUUCAUCAGGGAUUGGCGUGUUCUCACCGCUGCAGCCAAUUUCCCUGGAGUUCUGUUUUUCUUCUUUUUCAUAACAAUUCCAGAGUCACCACGGUGGUUGUACUCUCAGGGGAGGACUGAGGAAGCAGAGGAGGUAUUGCAAAGUAUUGCAUACAGGAAUGGCAAUGAGAAGAUUUUCAUUCAGCUAAAACCCUGUACAGGAGCCAAGAAAGUUGGUCAACCUGCUCAUGGAUUUAUGGAGCUGGUGAGACAUCCUGUAUUACGCUGGAGAAGUGUCAUCUUGAUGUAUGUAUGGUACGUUUGCAGUCUUGUAUAUUACGGCUUGACAUUGAAUGCCGGCGAGCUGAAAGGCAACCGCUACUUGAACAUCGCCAUGUAUGGUCUUGUGGAAUUGCCAGCAUUCCCCUUGUGCCUUUACUUCAUUGAUAAAUCCUGGUCAGGGAGGCGUAAGACAAUGGCAGCAUUUCUGCUGUUUGCAGGCGUUGCUUGUUUAAGUACCAUGUUCGUGCCGGAGAAACAAGAUUUUGACAUGGGAUUCUUGGUGGACGUUGCUUCAGUAGCUCUGUGUGGAAAGUUGGCUGUCAGUGCGGCCUUUAACAUUGCUUAUGUUUUUACUGCAGAACUGUAUCCCACUGUGAUCAGGAAUGCUGGAUUGGGAAUCUGCUCCAUGUCGUGCAGGAUCGGUGGGAUUCUGGCACCUUUCGUGCCAUCACUGAAAUCUUUGAAUCCAUCUAUGCCAUUCAUCAUCUUUGGGAUUGCUGGAAUGUCAGGAGGAUUUUUGGGACUUCUUCUCCCAGAAACCUUAAACAAACAAAUUGCAGAGUCCAUAGAAGACCUCAACCCUCCUGAAGACAGAAGGAGAAAAAAGUUGUAGAGUGUCUUCUCACACAAGCAUUCGUCCAAAAGCAUUCAAAUCAGCAGGAAAGAUUGUCUAAUUUUAAGUGCUGAUUACUUUCACACAAAUUAAUUUUCUGUAGCCUCUUCUGCUUAAAAAAAUUCUACACUGGAAAUUCACUGAACCUGUGCACAAAACUUGGGACCCUGCUGUAGAUGAAACAAAUCGCUGUGCCAAGUUUCCAUUCAUUGCACCAGACAUAGAUACUUUACACCGGUUCCGUCCAUCUCAGAUAAGCUGAAGAUGCUGGAAGGUGAUAAGGGAACUAGGGUGGGAUGACAGGUGGGAAGGGAAAUGAAACUAGGUAGUAGAGGAAGAGCCUUGGAAAAGGGGAUGUAACUAACCACAAGGAUCAGAGGGAGAAAGAAGGGAACAUAGCCUGCAGUUUGCCUGAAAUUGGAAAUUUCAGUAUUCAUACUAUUAGCUUGUAGAUUAUCCAGGCAGAAUAUAAAAUGUUGUUCUUCUAGUUGUGUGAGGCCUGAAUCUAGCAGUGACUAAGGCUGAGGGCAGACAGGUAAGUGUGGGGAUGGGGAGGGGAGUUGAAAUGACAUGCCACCUUGAGCACAGGCUGGUCAAGAAGGAUAGAGUGUAAAGUGGUUGGCUGGUCAGUGGUUGUUGUCACUGAUGUGGAGGAGGCUACGUCAUGAGCACCAAAUGCAGUAGUUGAGGUUGGAGGAGGUGCACAUGAAUGUCUGGCUCACUUGAAAGGGCUAUUGAGGCCCAACUGUUGCAUCUACUGUGGAGAGACUGGUCCCAACGAAAAUCAAGAACUUCUGACUGGUUGUGGAUGAUGUGCAGGAUGUGCAGGCUCUUCGAGUAAAAAAUGAGCACCAGGGGAUCUUUGAUGGGUGCUGGAUCAGAGAAGUUUAGGAAAUGGUGGACAUGGAAGUGAAGGCUUCGUCAACCACAGUAAGGAAAAGCCAUAUUCCUGAAAAAAGAGGGCAUUUCAGAUGUCAGGAGUAGAAAGCCUCAUCUUGAGGACAGAUACAAUGAAGAUGGAGAAACAGAGAGAAAGUGAUGGCGUCCUUGCAGAGGACUGGGUGGGAGGGGGCGUAGCUGAUGUAGGUGUCUUGUUCAGUACAAUGGUGCAGUUGCCUUACAGAUCCAGCAGCCCAGCUUCAGUCUUGACUUCCAGUGUCAUCUGUGUCAAGUUUGAAUGUUCUCCCUGCAAACAUGAGGUGCUCCUAUUCCCUCUCCUCAAAGAUGUGGGACUGGGUAGGUUAAUUGGCCUCUGUAAAUCACUCUUCACUUGUAAGUAAGUGGUAGAAUCUGGGGAUAAGAGCAAAAUCAGAUUAGGAUAAAUGAGUGUUUGAUGGUCAUUGUGGACUUGUAGGACCAAACGGCCUAUUGCCAUACUGUUUAAUUCUAUGAAAAGCUGAUACUUCUGUAUCCUGGGUAUUUAUCCCCACCUGACUUGCAGCCACAUUCUCCCGUCUCUAACCAUUAAUCAUAUCUAAACCACUAAAUGCACAAGAGUGAUUGCUUCCAGAUCAAAUUGUUUUUGUCUCUCUGGGGCAUUGGAGUGACCUGAACUCAACUUCAGAAUCGUACUCAAGUUUAUUAUCACUGUCAUAUAUAGCGUAAGAUUUGUUGUUUUGCAGAGGCAGUACAGUGCAAAGGUAUAAAAUCCUAUAGAUUGCAAUUGUAAACAGUGCAAAAAGAAGGAAUAAUGAAGUAAUGUUCAUGUUGUUAAACUCAGCAACAUUAAGCUAGACUGCACGAAGCACACAGUUACUGCUGGACGUGUUAUUUAGUAUUGUACAGGUCUCCACACACUCCCAAAUGAUAUAAUUAUGACACACAGUAUGUACUGACAUUCCUAUCUAACCACACCACAUUUUUAUAUUCCCAGCAAUGCCCUGGUUUAAAGAGUGAAAAGUGAGUCACCUAUCUGAAGUCAUUUGUCAUUAUUGCACGCAUCCCUUAUGUAUUCUUGGGCCAGUAUAGCUCCCGGUACCCUAUGGUCAUUUUAUUCUCAGCUCUCUCUCUGUCUCGUAUUAUCCUAUUUUAUCUCUGCGGCACUCCCCCCCACCCCGAAAGAAUUCCAGUGUGCACAGAUUCAUUAUUUAGUAACUGAAGAAAUAAAUUUGAUUCUUUAAUUUUAUUAAGAAUUCAAUCAAGUUCUUAAAUAGUUAUUACCCUGAGUUUCAUAUAUUUUUAUGCAACAGUAGAACAUCAAAUUCAUCCCAUUUAAAUUGGGGGACCUUUCAUCGAGUACCAUCCGCCACCCAUUUCAGUUCCACUUCACAUUCACACAUGUUGGUCCAUGGCACUCCCCUACUACCACAACGAGGCCCCACUCAGGCUGGAGGAGCAACACUUCAUAUUCUGUUGGGUGGCCUCCUACCUGAUGGCUUGAAUUCUGACUGACUUUUCUAACUUCUGAUAUUAUAUAUCCCAACUCUCCCUUCUCUCUUUUUCGAUUCCCCAUUCUGGUACUCCUCUCAUCCCUUCUCACCUGUGCAUCACCUUCUUCCAAUGCUGCUCUUCCCCUUUUAUCAUGGUCCCAUCUUUAGUCCCUUACCUAUCACCCCCUAGUUUCUCUCUUCAUCCCCCUUCCCCACCCAUCCACCUUCCGUCUCACCUUUCAGCUGCUAGUUUGUACUCCUCCCCUCCUUUCUCCCCUUCUUAUUUUGUCUUCUUUGCCCUUCCUUCCCAGUCCUGAUGAAGAACUGUUUAUUCCCACAUUAUAGGACUACAUACAAGCCAGUUGAAAGAAUAAUUUUAAGCACAGUCUUCAGAACUAUUAAUGUCCUGUAAUGUGGCCAGGGUUUUUUGUACAUGGAUAGGCUGCUCCAUCUAUUGAGAAUGUGCAGGUAGUCCCUGGGUUAUUAAAGUGUUCCACUUUUAUGGAACAAGUCAAGUUUGCUAAUAAGUUGGAAAAUAUGUCUGCACUUAUACAAAAUCACUCUAUAUGAUAACCACAUCUCCAUUGAGCUGAGGUGGAAGUGACUGGUUCUGAUGUCCUUUCAAACUUUAUAAAAAAAAUCUUAACAAGUGAAGAUUGAACUGCUGUUUUUCAGCAAGUCAUUGGGUAUAUUUAAAGCAGAGGUUGAUAGGUUCUUGAUUAGUAAGGGCAUCAAAGGUUACGGAGAGGGAUAAUAAAUCAGUCAUAAUGGAAUCCGAUCACAAACGAGAAAAUCUGCAAAUGCUGGAAAUCCGAGCAACACACUCAAAAUGCUGGAGGAACUCAAGCCAGGCAGCAUCUUUGGAAAAGAGUAUUGUCCACUUUUCAGGCUGAAACCCUUUAGCAGGAUUGGAGAAAAAAGAAUGAGUAGAUUUAAAAGGUGAAGGGAGGGGAAAGAUAAGGCAUCAGGUGAAAUCUGAAGGGGGAAGGAUGAAGUAAAGAGCUGGGACGUUAACUGGUGAAAGAGACAGAACGCUAUGGAAGAAAGAAAAGUGGAGAUGAGCACCAGAGGGAGUCGAUGGGCAGGUAAGGAUAUAAGCUUGUUCAACUACAGGAAGACACAGGAUCUUGAACACCAGAGACUGUGACUGAACGGAUGCCUCCAAUGGAUGUAAGGAAUGAAACCUCAGAUUUGGAUAUCUGCAGACGUUAAAGAAGAUGCCAAGGGGGGUUAUAUAAUCAGCUCAGGUCUUUUGAAAUUCAUUGUUUAAGAUCGGUUGGUUAUUCUUAGUGACAACGUGUUGCUAAGGGAAGAAUUCGUCAGGCAGGAAAGAUUUACCUCAAUUAUUUAUUUUGUAACAUUUGUUUGGUAGCAAGUGAUAAAUAUUUUUGUGAAAUUUAUAACUAUACAGUUUUGCAAGUAUUUUUACUUGUGACCUUAAAUUUGUAAGUUUAAUAAUGUUGAGUAUAAACUGAGUAAUACAGUCUUAAAGUUUAUUUUUUACAUAGGGAGUAUUUGUAAGCCAAUGGAAUAUUAGUAUCAAAUUUAAGUAUAGAAUGUAAACGUAAAACGGUAGGAGCUCAGCAUUAUUAACCUUUUAAUACAAAUUGCAAAAUAAUUGAAAGACUUACAAUGGGAAUAGUAUGUGCUGAACACACUUUAUACUUGCUCUUCCUUGAAGUUUCCGAUUUGGAUGCUCAAGAUUUAAGAAAACUCAGAUCUGUUGACCUUUUCAUGUUGAUUUUGCGCUACUUCCAUUUUGCACUUCUGAAUUAAGAGCCCUGAAAUGCUAUAGUUCCGAAGUUUAUAAGAAAGUUUGUUUUGCAAGUAUAGUACGAAUCUCUGCCUUUCUUUUUCUGUCGGUUGGAUCUAUGAUUCAAAUGACUUGGAUUAUACUUCUCAAAUCCAAAGACAUUUUCUUCACUGCGUGGUCCUAAUUGCUCUCCAAAAUCCUCUGUGGAAAAGUGUGAGUGUUUAGGAUAACUAUUGGGGAAUGGCUACUUGAUAUCCAUUUGGGAGGUGGUAUGGCGGUUACUUGGCACAGAUGAUUUUGUAAAUCAGGAGUUAAGCCUGCAGCAUUAGCUGGAGGAGGAAAGAGAUGGAAAUUGUUCUUUUAAAAAAAACAAGAAAAUCAAGUUUAUAUGAAUGAAUCGGCAGAUGCUGGAAAUAAAUAAAAACACAAAAUGCUGGCAGAACUCAGCAGGCUAGACAGCAUCUAUGGGAGGAGGUAGUGACGACAUUUCGGGCCAAAACCCUUCAUCAGGAAUUCAAGUUUAUAGUCAGUAAGGAAGAGGACCACACAAAAUGGAGCACAAUGAAACAGUUGGACCAAUGCAAACUGUCUUUUACCAUUGCAGUUUUGCACAUUGUAUCUGCUUCCAUAGGCAUAGUUCAUGUUGCUCUAUGAAAACAAGCAAGUUUAUUCUGUAACUUAUAUCUUACAAUAUCAUUGUUAGAGUUAAAAAUGGAAAGAAUAAUGCUUUUUCAGAAAAAAAGUUUAUUUAAACCUCCUAGCAGCUUGAAGUUAGAAUGUAGUACAGCUAUAAAUCAGAGAGUGUUUCAUACCCCUGGUGGUUACUCUUUAUCAAUAUAAAUUCCAACUUUGUGGGAACAGUAAGAAUGCAACACAGUAUUGCCUUGUUCUUGCCAAUCUUGCCUUAUGUAGAGCAGAGAUGGCAGAAGUUAGGUUUUAACCAGCCUGUCCCCUUUGUAGACCCCACCCAUUUCAUGAAGCAUACUUGGAUGGCCAGUGGAAAUCUGGCUCUUAUUGAUAAAUAAUAAUGCAAAGACUUUGACUUCCAUGUUUUGUUUCAAAACUAUUGUGGUUUUCUUUUGGUUUGAGUAGCCCUCAGAAGUGAGCUUAUUUUAACACCCUUGUUUAUGUGCUCGGUCUAAGCCAAAGCAGAUACCUGACAGCAUUGUACAAGUAUUUAAGCCGAAGUUUGUCAUGUGCAUUGCUUCACCAUCGACUGUGUCAAAGUAAAUAAAGCUAUGAUUAACCCA